UGACGUUUUGGGUCUGGGGCGUUUUAAUUUUUGUAGGCUAGGACAUCAUCUUUUCCUUCUUCCAUUGUGGAAGUCGCCGCCUUCGUUGCUCUUACUAUGCAAAGCACACCAUUUUCAUCUCUUUGCCUUCCCCGACCUUCAAUGAGAUGGUUGAGGCUGUGAUGAUCGCUCGCAAUCACUCUCAGUUCAAAUUUGUUCUUUCAGCUUCCAAAGAAUCUCAGAAAGAUGUCUUCCUUGGCGGAGACAUGGUCAGCAAGAACAGGAGUGUGGCAAAAUUCCUGAGAAGCCGUUUCUGGAGCAGAGAGAGAAAUGUGCAGAGGACGAACUCAGAAGGAAAGCGCAAGACUUUGAUAUGUCACAUCUGGUUUCUCCGUUUGGUUCAUCUUUGUGGGAUUUAUGGGUUUUCAAGUUCUGGAAACUCUCUGAAUUGAUUUGAUAUUGGCAGUAAAGUGUUCUAGGAGCGUGGUUGUGUACCUAUAUAUCUGGGAUGAUGCUGCAAAAAAAUAUAGGGGUCUCACCAACUCAAAGUGACAGGACACAGUCUGUCAGGGUAGUCACUACUGUCAAUCCCAAAAUCUUUGGAGGCAACCUAUACCUCAACUCAACGCCAGCGACGAAAUUUUAUUUCGACCCUGAGCUUCAAGCAAUCGCAGAGUUUACAGAGAGAUGAAUGGUGGUGGGGGCGAAGAACUCCCACAAUGUUUUCAAGACCUAGCUGGGAAAGAUUUUGUCUUCCAGAUACGUGUGACACCUUCAAUUUUACCCCAAACCACCGUACUUUCACUGUCUCUGCGAUCCUAGACGAUAUCUCCCAGAGAUUUCGAGACCAGUGAAAAUCAAUUUUUCCAGUUGAAGGUGGCGAACAAUCAGGAUCUGCCAGCAGAAAGGCUACAGCUGAAGUGAAUGAACCAAAUCCACUCGCUUGUGGAGUUGAGGAGAGUAGCUGUAAACGCUCCAACGCCCCCGUGAGUGAAGCUUAAAAUCUGCCACAACGUCAACCUUCGUUUCCUUCAUUUUCCUAGAGUGAAGACAUUUCCCUGCUGUUUUCUGCAUUUUCUAUUUUAGACUUUGGACUUAAUUUCAUAUUUCAAGGGUUUUGUAUUGUUGGUUUUAAUUAUUAUCAAAAUGGGUUGACGAAAUAUUUCGUGUUGUUGGUAACCUAUUUUACAACUUUACAUUUUCAUAUUCAUUCAUCUCCUAAAGAAUCGUCGA